GGCAUAAGCUAGCUUUACUGCGAGCGUGACGGCGAGAGCAGGUGCGAAAGCAUGUCAUAGUGAUCCGGUGGUUCUGAAUGGAAGGGCCAUCGCUCAACGGAUAAAAGGUACUCCGGGGAUAACAGGAUGAUACCGCCCAAGAGUUCAUAUCGACGGCGGUGUUUGGCACCUCGAUGUCGGAUCAUCACAUCCUGGGGCUGAAGUAGGUCACAAGGGUAUGUCUGUUCGCCAU
rnacentral:rRNA from 1 species